UACGGGGGGAGCAAGCGUUGUUCGGAUUUACUGGCGUAAAGGCGCGUAGGCGGUCAGCACAAGUCAGUUGUGAAAUCUCCGGGCUUAACCCGGAAAGGUCAACUGAUACUGUGCGACUAGAGUGCGGAAGGGGCAACUGGAAUUCUCGGUGUAGCGGUGAAAUGCGUAGAUAUCGAGAGGAACACCUGCGGCGAAGGCGGGUUGCUGGGCCGACACUGACGCUGAUGCGCGAAAGCCAGGGGAGCGAACGGG
rnacentral:rRNA from 1 species